rnacentral:snRNA from 1 species
AUACUUACCUGGCAGGGGAAAUACCAUGAUCAUGAAGAUGGUUUUCCCAAUGAUGAGGCUCACCCAUUGCACCUCGGGUGUGCUGACGCUUGCGAUUUCCCCAAAUGUGGGAAACUCGACUGCGUAAUUUGUGGUAGUGGGGGAUUGCGUGCGCGCUUUCCCCCU